rnacentral:rRNA from 1 species
CGGACGGGUGAGUAACGCGUGAGAAUCUGCCUUCAGGAUGGGGACAACAAUUGGAAACGAUUGCUAAUACCCGAUAUGACGAAAGUUGAAAGAUUUAUCGCCUGGAGAUGAGCUCGCGUCAGAUUAGCUAGAUGGUGUGGUAAAGGCGCACCAUGGCGACGAUCUGUAGCUGGUCUGAGAGGAUGAGCAGCCACACUGGGACUGAGACACGGCCCAGACUCCUACGGGAGGCAGCAGUGGGGAAUUUUCCGCAAUGGGCGCAAGCCUGACGGAGCAAUACCGCGUGAGGGAGGAAGGCUCUUGGGUCGUAAACCUCUUUUCUCAGGGAAGAACACAAUGACGGUACCUGAGGAAUCAGCAUCGGCUAACUCCGUGCCAGCAGCCCCGGUAAUACGGAGGAUGCAAGCGUUAUCCGGAAUGAUUGGGCGUAAAGCGUCCGUAGGUGGUUUUGUAAGUCUGUGGUUAAAGCGUGUAGCUCAACUACAUAACGGCCAUGGAAACUACAAGACUUGAGUGAAGUAGGGGUAGAGGGAAUUCCCAGUGUAGCGGUGAAAUGCGUAGAGAUUGGGAAGAACACCGGUGGCGAAAGCGCUCUACUGGACUUAUACUGACACUGAGGGACGAAAGCUAGGGGAGCGAAAGGGAUUAGAUACCCCUGUAGUC